rnacentral:lncRNA from 1 species
AUGCUCUGUUCUGCUCUCCUGACCCCUGUCCUGUUUCAAAUUACAGUAUCGUUAUCCCAGACCACUGGACACCACUCCCUGUCGGCAACUGGACUUACAGUCAUAAUUAUGGGGGACUCUUCUCCCCCUCACCUUUUGCAUACUGGAAAACUGAAGCCCAGAGAGGGGCAGAGAUUUGGUCCAGGACCCCUUAAGGAGAAAUGGCAGAUUUGUACAAUUCACCCAUCUGAGAAACCAGUCUCUAGCAGGGAGAAACAGCGUGGCCUAAUGGAAAGAAAAUGGGCCUGGGAGUCAGAGGACCUGGGUUCUCAUUCCAGUUCUUCCACUUCCCUGCUGCGGGACCUUGGGUAAGUCACUUCUCCCACUUAGACCGUGAGGCCCCGUGUGGGACAGGGACUGUGUCCAACCUGAUUACCUUGUAACUACCCCCAGCGUUCAGUACAGUGCCUGGCACAGAGUAAGCACCGUUAUUAUUAUCAGCCGAUGGGAUGCUGAGGGCCUUCAAAGAGAAAUCGUGGAAAAAAAUUAAAAUCCCUCAACCUGGAUUCCUCUCCAGCCCCAUACAGUCUGCUCCAGCCCCUGAGAAGCAGUAUGGCCUAGAACAAAGACCACACGGGCCUGGGAGUCAGAUGAUUUGAGUGCUAAUUCUGGCUUUGCCACUUGUCUGCUGUGUAACCUUGGACACAUGGGACAGGGACUGUGUCCAAAUUGAUUGGCUUGUAUCUACCUCAGUGCUUAGAACAGUGCCUGGCACAUAGUAAGCACUUAAAUUCCAUAAAGACAAAAUAUAAAAAAGCCCCAAGCAACCUCAGCUCUCUACCUGGGCCCAACCACCAGCUUUCUUUUAGCUCGAGAAAACCAACAAGUUCCUCUUCUGAGGUGCCCGAAGCUUCUUCCCCUCCAAGCAUCAUUCUGUUCCCGGCCCUGAUAGAGGAGAAUAGGAGAGUAUGACUUUCCUAGAGAAAGUCAGCUAAGGAUGUUGUUCUCCUCCUCCUCAUCAAGUACUAAUUGAGCACCCACUGUGUGCAGAGCCUCUGUUCCAGAGGUGGAGGAAGUUCAGGAAAUGACUGGGGGGGGGGGGGCAGCGAUGCUUCCACAGCAACAGAAUCCCAAGGGUGGGCAGGGGAGAUGAUGGCUCCACCUGCUCCUCGGUCCCCCAGACCUCAAAGACAAAGAGUAGAGACACUUCAUCUCCCCCGGAGCUACAACUCGGUUCUCUAAGCCCUCUUGAAAAGGCCAAGCUACAUACACAAACCUCCCUUAUAACCUGGCACGCACACACACCUCCGUACUUGAAUGCACCCCGAAUACUCACAUCAACGCAUACUCCCCUGUACCCCGCACGCACCACCCCUUCCACCCACACCCCUAUAAACAUGCAUACGUACACUCCCGCUUUCCCGUACAUGCCAACCCGUACUUAUCGCAAGAACCACGCUAAUCCACCAAGGACUCCUGAGAUUGGGAGCGGCAGUCCCGACCAAGCCACUGAGCAGACCGAAGGAGGAGAGUGGAGGUCCCAAGCAGGAGGAGGGCUGACCCCCUCUUUCUCUCCCUGGGGGCCUUAGGGGCAUUACAGAUUAUUUACUAUGCAUUACAGUCCCAUCCUGGGGAGAUGGUCUCAGGAGCUUUGAACAGGAUGAAUAAGGACGGGGGGCGGGGGAGCUUCGGAGGGGAAGGGAGGCAUCGGGCAUUUCUUGCUUGACUGGGCUGUGGGCAGGACCACGGCACAACCAGGUCGCACUGGGAAAGGCCCACACGGGCACAGGUGCCUUCCCGGCUCCCCCAGCUCACUUGCCACCCGAAGCUGGACCCUCACUCGCUUCUACUACCUGGGCCAGCUCCAAACUCCCUCCUUGGAAGGCAUCUAGCUCCUCCUUCCCACCGGAGUUGAGGGGUCUUUCGGUCAAGGGGCCCCCCAGCUGGAGAACUGGUGAGGCUCAGGAGGGAGGGUGACGGUUGGAGGAGGAGUGGAGGUUAGUGGGUCGAGGGGGGAGGUCCGGGGAGGUCCCCUUCCCCAAGGGUCCCCGCCACCCCACCUCUUCCUACCUGAGCGGCGAGGCUGUUGCUGGCCACCGCCGCCCGCCAAGGGAGAUUGGCCGGGUCCCGCCGGAACCGUCGCCGCCGGCCCUGGCUCUCCGUCCCCCACUCCUCCUUCUGCAGCCUCGGUCGGCCCCCCGGGGCACUCGGCGGCGGGACCCACUUCGGGGGCAGCUCCUCCUUUUAGCUCUCGGCGGCUCCUUCAGGCUGCGCUGAUGUCAACCGACGGAGGAGGGGCUUGGAGGGGAGGAGGGAGAGCCGGGGCGGAGCC